UGUGCACCGGUGGGGUCCCUUGGCCUGGCCUGCAGGGAUCAGGCCAAAACCAGCUCUCUGACAUCCCCUGAGGGGUCCUGGAUUGCAGGCCAGGCCAAGGGACCCCACUGGUGCAUG
rnacentral:pre_miRNA from 1 species